AAUGAACGCUGGCGGCGUGCAUAACACAUGCAAGUCGAACGAGAAACCCCGGGCUUGCUCGGGGGAGUAAAGUGGCGCACGGGUGAGUAUCGCGUGGGUAACCUGCCCCUUAAACUGGGAUAACUUCGCGAAAGCGUUGCUAAUACCGGAUAUUGUCAUGAGGACCUCGGUCCCCAUGAUGAAAGGUGACCAAUUCAUGAAAGUUGCCGUUGAGGGAGGGGCUCGCGUACCAUUAGCUAGUUGGUAGGGUAAUGGCCUACCAAGGCGAUGAUGGUUAGCUGGUCUGAGAGGAUGAUCAGCCACACUGGAACUGAGACACGGUCCAGACUCCUACGGGUGGCAG
rnacentral:rRNA from 1 species